UCUAGCAUGUGCGCGAGUCAUUGGGACUUUUUUUCAGGAAAGCCCAGAGGCGCAAUGAAAGUGAAGAUCGGCCUUUUCGGCUUGAUCGAGGGAGGAUGGCUCAUUGUCAUUUUUUAUGACGACGGGCUCGCACUCCCGGGGCGUCUCGCGCUCAUUUCGAGCGGAGGCGCACCCAGAGCGUACACGCUGGGACCCGAAAGAUGGUGAACUAU
rnacentral:rRNA from 1 species